rnacentral:rRNA from 1 species
CAAAGGAAUUAAGGGCGUACAGUGGAUGCCUUGGCACUAAGAGCCGAUGAAGGACGCAAUUAACGGCGAA